GAUGAACGCUAGCGGGAGGCCUAACACAUGCAAGCCGAGCGGUAGAGUUUCUUCGGAAAUUUGAGAGCGGUGCACGGGUGCGUAACACGUGUGCAACCUCCCUUUAUCUGGGGGAUAGCCUUUCGAAAGGAAGAUUAAUACCCCAUAAUAUAAUGAUUGGCAUCAUUUAUUUUUGAAAACUCCGGUGGAUAGAGAUGGGUACGCGCACGAUCAGAUAGACGGUGAGGUAACGGCCCACUAAGUCAAUUAUCUUUAGGGGUAGUGAGAGGGAGAUCCCCCACACUGGUACAGGGACACGGACCAGACUCCAGCGGGAGGCAGCAGUGAGGAAUAAUGGACAGAGAGUGAGAGCCUGAUCCAGCCAUCCCGCGAGGAGGAUUACGGUCCUAUGGAUUGUAAACUUCUUUGGUACAGGGAUAAACCUACCCUCGUGAGAGUAGCUGAAGGUACUGUACGAAUAAGCACCGGCUAACUCCGUG
rnacentral:rRNA from 1 species